rnacentral:rRNA from 1 species
UGCAUAAUCAUUAGUCUUUUAAUUUGAGACUGGAAUGAAAGAGUAAACCGGGAGAAUUUUUUUUCAGUUGAGAAAAUGAAUUUUACUUUUUAGUAAGAAGGCUAAAAUUUAACUUUUAGACAAGAAGACCCUAUAAAACUUUAUAUUUUUAUUUCUUAGUUGAAAGAAGAAGUAUUUCGCUGGGGCGGUGGAGGAAAGCCCUUCCUUUUAAAAAAAUAAACUUUCUUGUUUAAAUACCUAGAAAUUCUAAAUUAGAAAUAAGUUACUUUAGGGAUAACAGCUUAAUUUACUUAGAAAGAUCAAAUUGACAAGUAAGUUUAUGACCUCGAUGUUGAAUUAAAAGACCUUUUUUGUGCAAAAGCUAAAAA